GACUCAGUGGCCCAUCGGUAAAGCGUUCACCGCGGAGUCGAAGGGUCUUGGGUUCGACCCCCGAUGGGGUCG
rnacentral:tRNA from 1 species